rnacentral:rRNA from 1 species
UACGAAGGGGGCUAGCGUUGCUCGGAAUCACUGGGCGUAAAGCGCACGUAGGCGGACUCUUAAGUCGGUGGUGAAAUCCUGGAGCUCAACUCCAGAACUGCCUUCGAUACUGGGAGUCUCGAGUCCGGGAGAGGUGAGUGGAACUGCGAGUGUAGAGGUGAAAUUCGUAGAUAUUCGCAAGAACACCAGUGGCGAAGGCGGGUCUCUGGGCCGAUACUGACACUGAGAAGCGAAAGCGUGGGGAGCGAACAGG